UCCCUCUUGCCCUCCCUCCGCGCAUGCGCGGCCCAGCUGGGAGGGGCGGGGCCAGGAGCCCUUCUAGAGGGUGGGCCCUUGUACUACUACUUUAGAGUUCUAGAGCCAGAACACGCCGCCCCCAGCCUAGAACCCCGUUGCAUCCCUUCUAGAACAUCCCAGCUAGAACGAAGAGGCCCCAAGCCCAGUCUAGAACCCCUUUGGAGCCUUUGUCCCAGGCCUGAGCUAGUCUAGAACCACUCCUGGAGCCGUUCUAGAAACCCCAGCUAAAACACACUGCCCCCUGCUGCUGGGACGUCCAGUCUAGAACCCUUCUAGAAAAUCCCAGCUGGAAGACAUUGAGCCCUGGUGCUGGGGUGCCCAGUCUAGAUCCCCCCCCCCCCGAGCUUUUCUAGAACUCCCCUGCACUGGGAUGUCUGGUCUAGAACCCCCUGGAGCCCUUCUCAAGUGCCCCACUUAAAACGGGGCCCCUGAGCUUGGGUGUCCAGUCUAGAACCCAUCUUGGAUCCUGUCUCGAACACCUCAGCUAGACCACGUGGACGCCCUGAGUUGGGAUGCCCGGUCGAGAACCUCUGCUACGUCGGGAAUUGGAACAAGCCCCUGGUACCUUGCUGCAUGAUUCAGAAAUGCCCAGCCCAGCAGCCUCCCUCCAGCUCGCGUUUCAACACGGCACGAAAGGCAAAGAGAAAGAAACAGCGAGGCGGACUGGAGAACUGCUGCCAGGGACAGUUUCACCUCUGGGCCCUCUCUUGCUAUUGGCUGGACAUCGAUGACCACAAAUUCAUCUUUCGGAGGGGUCUGGUGGGAGAGACGGAUAGGGAAAAAUAAACCU